CUCAUCGCCUGGCCGUGGAUAUCAUUGAAAGGAGGAUUGGCAAUAACAAUUCCCAUGAUUUUAGAGCUUUGAAAUUAACAAGAAAAUUUAUCAAGGCCACUAAAAGGCCAAACAAAAAAAACGAUAUCUCCUUGGGAGUUCGGCUAUGUCGAGAUACACAAGUUCCUGAAAGCUCCCAAGACCACCUAACUCAAGGCAAAAACUGGGUGGAAAAUUGUAGAACCUGGGUAUCUGGCUCGAAACGUAUUGCUUUCAGUUGACUCACGGCACACUUGACCCUACAAUCGAUUGGCUUUCGUAAUUGAAGGGGACUCCAAAAUAAGCGCUCUCAUACGCUCUUUGUGUAUCGUUGGAAACUGAGUACACCCAUACUAAACGCAACUUUCGAACUCUUCAAAUGUACUACGAGUCUAGUUACUGCAGGUGGUAAUUGGUUUUAUGCAUGAAGCGAAGGUUUGAGCCAAUACAUAUCACUGGUACGACCAUGCUGAAGCAUUGCAAGCCAUGGAUCCUCAAAUCAUCACGGAAAUCGCCUUUGACCAACACUCCUCUCACCCAAGCGUUCACGACAUUAGUUUCAGAGUCCAUCCUGUGUCAUCUUCCCCCGCCUCACAAAGAUUGGUCCAAUGUUUGUGGUAUGAGAGGCCCAAUAAUUGCGGACGGAAAGAUUCAAGAGAUCAAUCCAUAACCAAAGAGAGCACCGAUGCUUCAACGGGGGAUUUGAGCAAGCCCAUCCAAGAAUGGUUGGGAUGUUGCAGUUCAGCUGUGCAGGCUUUUAGUAUAUUCUGGUGCUUCAAAAGCUUUUUUUCCGAGGUAGACGAAUUCACAUGGUCAAUUUCUGCAGAAAUCCUAGACUACUUGUGUUGCGCAUGUUUAAGGGACUAUCCACAAGAGUCAUGUUUUUUUGUGAUUUGCCCAUGUUGUCUUUAAAGAUGUUUCUCAUUUCCGCAUUAUGUUUGCUUGGUUCAAGUUUCGAUCCGUUACAAUUCAAGGAUUAAAGACGCCUGGACAAAGGAAGCUUCUCACUUCAUAGUUCACAUCAUUCAAUGUCAUGAUUUUGUUGCUUCGUUCGUUAGGAUGCGAAGGAUUCAUAGAGCCCCCUGAAAACCGGAGACAAAUAUUCAAAACCUUGUUUUGUCCUUCUAACUUAGCUGGGAAUACAUGUAAUUUACGUAUGUACCCUACAAUAAUGAGGAGUAAAGUAUGCUCGGAGGUCGCAAUAAAUACUGCACUUUAUAAUCAA